GCCUUCGUGGUUGAAUGGUAAAGACACUUGCAUCUCACCCUGAAGUCUCGGGUUCGAUCCCCGGUCGAAGAGA